rnacentral:rRNA from 1 species
GACGAACGCUGGCGGCGUGCUUAACACAUGCAAGUCGAACGAAGUGGCGAACGGGUGAGUAACGCGUAAUCAACCUGCCCUUCAGAGGGGGACAACAGUUGGAAACGACUGCUAAUACCGCAUAAUGAAGGAGGGGAUUGCGUCUGAUUAGCUCGGUGGAGGGGGAACGGCCCACCAAGGAGAUGAUCAGUAGCCGGUCUGAGAGGGUGGACGGCAACAUUGGGACUGAGAAACGGGCCAGACUCCUACGGGAGGCAGCAGUGGGGAAGCUUCCGCAAUGGACGGAAGUCUGACGGAGCAACGCCGCGGGAGUGAUGACGGCCUUCGGGUUGUAAAGCUCUGUUAAGCGGGAAGCGGUACCGGAAUAGAAAGCCACGGCUAACUACGUGCCAGCAGCCGCGGUAAUUC